GUGGGGAAUAUUGGACAAUGGGCGCAAGCCUGAUCCAGCCAUGCCGCGUGAGUGAUGAAGGCCCUAGGGUUGUAAAGCUCUUUCACCGGUGAAGAUAAUGACGGUAACCGGAGAAGAAGCCCCGGCUAACUUCGUGCCAGCAGCCGCGGUAAUACGAAGGGGGCUAGCGUUGUUCGGAAUUACUGGGCGUAAAGCGCACGUAGGCGGGUAUUUAAGUCAGGGGUGAAAGCCCGGAGCUCAACUCCGGAACUGCCUUUGAUACUGGGUACCUAGAGUAUGGAAGAGGUAAGUGGAAUUCCGAGUGUAGAGGUGAAAUUCGUAGAUAUUCGGAGGAACACCAGUGGCGAAGGCGGCUUACUGGUCCAUUACUGACGCUGAGGUGCGAAAGCGUGGGGAGCAAACAGGAUUAGAAACCCCAGUAGUCC
rnacentral:rRNA from 1 species